AACGAACGCUGGCGGCGUGCCUAACACAUGCAAGUCGAACGGAAUCAAGGGGCUUGCUCCUUGAUUUAGUGGCGCACGGGUGAGUAACGCGUGGAUAAUCUGCCCGAUGAUCUGGGAUAACAUUUCGAAAGAGGUGCUAAUACCGGAUAAGCCCACGGGGACUUAGGUUCUUGCGGGAAAAGGGGGGGACCUUAGGGCCUUCUGUCAUCGGAUGGGUCCGCGUACCAUUAGCUAGUUGGCGGUGUAAGAGACCACCAAGGCGACGAUGGUUAGCUGGUCUGAGAGGAUGAUCAGCCACACUGGAACUGAGACACGGUCCAGACUCCUACGGGAGGCAGCAGUGGGGAAUUUUGCGCAAUGGGGGAAACCCUGACGCAGCAACGCCGCGUGAGUGAUGAAGGCCUUCGGGUCGUAAAGCUCUGUCAGAGGGAAAGAAGUGUAUGGUGGCUAAUAUCCACUAUACUUGACGGUACCCUCAAAGGAAGCACCGGCUAACUCCGUGCCAGCCGCCGCCGUAACAC
rnacentral:rRNA from 1 species